UAACUCCCCCACCGGCACCAAAUUUGGCACAGACCAUCUCUGGACGAAGCUGAUAAGUUUGUACAACUUAUUUCAAUCAGCAAAAAUUGCGAAUUACAACAUUGUUUUUAGGCCGAACGCAAAAAACAGGAAGUGAUGUCAUAGGUUAGGGAUGUCCGGUCGACACCAAACUUGGGGACCUUAUGUCGGACGCCUUCCCUAGGGGCUCCGUGAAAUGUGGUGUCAAUCAGCCACUAGGUGGCGCUGUUAAUUGAUAUCAAAUGAGACUCCCAUAGACAUAGAUUCAUUUCAUAUCUCCAUAACCACAAGUCCCUUUUUAUAUACAACUCAUGUGCUGCAUUUCAUGCAAUUUGGACAAUAGGUGGCGAUGUUAUUGCAAACUGAAUAGUUAAGGAAAAUCUCAUUUGAAUACAUUUUGGGAUUUUGAUUUAGGAUUUUUCCCUCUCACCCCCGAGGCGAAGCUUCAAUUAUUCGCUGUUAGUUACUGUUGAAGCUUAAAACAUUUGGGCCAAUCCUACCUGUGAUAUGUUUGUAACGGACUGUAAACAAGGCAUGGGCCUGUUACUGGUUUCAAGGUAUCCCGUGGUUUGAAAAAGUCAAUGUUUCAAAACCACUAACACUUUCCAUUAUACAAUUUCUGCAGUAUGAGCUGUAUGCACGGUAGCUUCUCUUUAGUCUUGAGAAGCGGCAGUCUCUUUUCAUUAGUCACUGACUUUUCACUGUUAUCAGUUUGGUGCUGGGGAUUUUCCUUUGGCGCUGGCUAAAACUAAAAAUUUCUUCAUGUGGGGGUGUAACUGCUGAGGUUCCAGGACAAACAGCUGGUUUUUACCAGCCACCAUUUUUAACUUAAGUCUAAGACAUUUUACGCUUCGUAGUUUACAUUCUUUGUUUAACUGACUGUGCGUUUAAGUUACUGCAUCUUCUGACAGAACACCACAUAUGAAUAUCAGUGUAACAGAACAUAUAUAUAACACACAAAAGUCAUUAAGUCUUUAUCUUCCCAUGGUAACUGUUAUUGAGUACUGUAUCCCUGUGAGUCACUGUUAAACUCUGUCUCCAAGGCUUCAUUUUUAAACACCAAGAAAUAACAGUGUGCUCUGCACUCCCCUGAGCAGCUGAAAUGCUGUUAACAAGGCAUAUCAUAAGCAGUAUUAGUAGCUUACUGCCCGUCCUGCAACACACCGGGACAAACUGACACAGUAUUACAAAGAUAACAGGGUCGAAAGAAAUUUAUUAUAAAUGAUUUUCUUUGUAGAUGUUGACCUACACCCCCUCAUAUGAACUUAUUUGUUUAAAGCGUCCCCCGGCCUUUAAGGGGCACGUCUGCUUUUUAGUGUCACACUUUAACAGGUUUAAUAAAUAAAGUCUGCAGCAGAGGAGGAGAAUUCCUGACUUAGCCUGAGGAAUGGCUCAAGCUUCAAUAACACAGGAUCUCACACUGCACCUUGAUAAUGUGAUUCAAACGAUAUUUAAGAAAUGUCACGGGGGAUCGAUCAGAUUUCUGUGCACACCCUGCAGUUGGUUGUCACAGGUGGUAAUACAUUAGUCAAACUUGAACAUUAUGGGUAUACAAGUACGGAGCAUUUACUCAAACGCCACCGCUGUCAGCACUGUGACUAAUCCUUCACAACAUCUGGAUAUUUGAAGAUUCGUCAAAGAGACCACAUGGAGAGAAAGUGCACAGCUGUGACCAUGUUCUGUCGCUCGCCUCACACACAGGAUACGCAGGAAGCUGUGAGUCGUGAUGAGAGAUCUUUCUGUCCCGACGCUCCUGCUGUAGCUGACUGGAGGAAGAGUGAAGUUAGUUACUGUGAUUCUUCACAUGUAUUAAAGUCGUUCUGUUUCUGCUGCUGGUGUCAAGAUGCCAGUGCCUGAUGAGGAUUUAUUUGUUGUUCCUGAGUGUUGACCUGUGACAAUAAAUACUGCUGGAACACAAUACA